ACCGCAUACGAUCUACGGAAGAAAGCGGGGGAUCCUUCGGGACCUCGCGCUAUAGGGGCGGCCGAUGGCAGAUUAGCUAGUUGGUGGGGUAAAGGCCUACCAAGGCGACGAUCUGUAGCUGGUCUGAGAGGACGACCAGCCACACUGGGACUGAGACACGGCCCAGACUCCUACGGGAGGCAGCAGUGGGGAAUUUUGGACAAUGGGGGAAACCCUGAUCCAGCAAUGCCGCGUGUGUGAAGAAGGCCUUCGGGUUGUAAAGCACUUUUGUCCGGAAAGAAAACUUCUGCCCUAAUACGGCGGGAGGAUGACGGUACCGGAAGAAUAAGCACCGGCUAACUACGUGCCAGCAGCCGCGGUAAUACGUAGGGUGCGAGCGUUAAUCGGAAUUACUGGGCGUAAAGCGUGCGCAGGCGGUUCGUUAAGACAGAUGUGAAAUCCCCGGGCUCAACCUGGGAACUGCAUUUGUGACUGGCGAGCUAGAGUAUGGCAGAGGGGGGUAGAAUUCCACGUGUAGCAGUGAAAUGCGUAGAGAUGUGGAGGAAUACCGAUGGCGAAGG
rnacentral:rRNA from 1 species